rnacentral:tRNA from 1 species
CGACUUAGCUCAGCUGGCAGAGCAUCUGUCGCAGAGGGUCACAGGUUCGAGCCCUGUAUCCU